GGCCGACUGGCGAAAUGGCAUCGCGUCUGACUACGAAUCAGGAGACUGCAGGUUCGAGCCCUGCGUCGGUCA
rnacentral:tRNA from 1 species